rnacentral:rRNA from 1 species
UACGUAGGGUGCGAGCGUUAAUCGGAAUUACUGGGCGUAAAGCGUGCGCAGGCGGUGAUGUAAGACAGAUGUGAAAUCCCCGGGCUCAACCUGGGGACUGCAUUUGUGACUGCAUCGCUGGAGUGCGGCAGAGGGGGAUGGAAUUCCGCGUGUAGCAGUGAAAUGCGUAGAUAUGCGGAGGAACACCGAUGGCGAAGGCAAUCCCCUGGGCCUGCACUGACGCUCAUGCACGAAAGCGUGGGGAGCAAACAGG